UGAUCAAGCUACAAAGAGCGCAUCAUGGAUGCCUUGGUGCCAAUAGGCGAUGAAGGACGUGGUAAGCUGCGAUAAGCUACGGACAGCGGCAAACACGCUUUGACCCGUAGAUUUCCGAAUGGGGUAACCUGAGCGAGGUAAUACUUGCUCGAGUUCCUGUGAAUCCAUAGCAGGAACAUCGCGACACCCGGUGAAGUGAAACAUCUCAGUAACCGGAGGAAAAGAAAUCGAAAGAGAUUCCGUCAGUAGUGGCGAGCGAAAGCGGAACAGGCUAAACCGGUCGAUUUAUCGAUCGGGGUUGUAGGAGCCCGAUGUGGUAGUGCAAAGGUUAGGUGAAGCUUCUGGAAAGCUGCGCCAUAGAGGGUGAAAGACCCGUAACCGAAAACCCGAGCACGCCUAGGGAUUUCCUGAGUAAUACGAUGCACGUGAAACUUCGUAUGAAUCUGCGCCGACCACGGCGUAAGCCUAAAUACUAAUUGGCGACCGAUAGUGAACAAGUACCGCGAGGGAA
rnacentral:rRNA from 1 species